GCCGCUGUAGCUGAGUUGGUAGAGUGGCCCAGUACAGAUGGCGAAGGUCGCUGGUUCAAAUCCAGUCUGCGGUG